UGGCGGACGGGUGAGUAAUGUCUGGGAAACUGCCUGAUGGAGGGGGAUAACUACUGGAAACGGUAGCUAAUACCGCAUAACGUCGCAAGACCAAAGAGGGGGACCUUCGGGCCUCUUGCCAUCGGAUGUGCCCAGAUGGGAUUAGCUAGUAGGUGGGGUAACGGCUCACCUAGGCGACGAUCCCUAGCUGGUCUGAGAGGAUGACCAGCCACACUGGAACUGAGACACGGCCCAA
rnacentral:rRNA from 1 species